rnacentral:misc_RNA from 1 species
AAGUCGUAACAAGGUCUCCGUUGGUGAACCAGCGGAGGGAUCAUUACCGAGUUAUCAACUCCCAAACCCCUGUGAACAUACCUUUUGUUGCCUCGGCGGGAUCGCCCCGGCGCCUCCGGGCCCGGAUCCAGGCGCCCGCCGCAGGACCCUAAACUCUUGUUUUCUAUAUGAAUCUUCUGAGUGACACAAGCAAAUAAAUUAAAACUUUCAACAACGGAUCUCUUGGUUCUG